UUAAGUGACUAAGCGUACACGGUGGAUGCCUAGGCAGUCAGAGGCGAUGAAGGGCGUGCUAAUCUGCGAAAAGCGUCGGUAAGGUGAUAUGAACCGUUAUAACCGGCGAUACCCGAAUGGGGAAACCCAGUGUGUUUCGACACACUAUCAUGUCAUGAAUACAUAGUGGCAUGAGGCGAACCGGGGGAACUGAAACAUCUAAGUACCCCGAGGAAAAGAAAUCAACCGAGAUUCCCCCAGUAGCGGCGAGCGAACGGGGAGGAGCCCAGAACCUGAAUCGGCUUGUGUGUUAGUGGAAGCGUCUGGAAAGUCGCGCAGUAAAGGGUGAUAGCCCCGUACACUAAAAUGCACAGGUCGUGAGUUCGAUGAGUAGGGCGGGACACGUGACAUCCUGUCUGAAUAUGGGGGGACCAUCCUCCAAGGCUAAAUACUCCUGACUGACCGAUAGUGAACCAGUACCGUGAGGGAAAGGCGAAAAGAACCCCGGCGAGGGGAGUGAAAUAGAACCUGAAACCGUGUACGUACAAGCAGUGGGAGCACCUUCGUGGUGUGACUGCGUACCUUUUGUAUAAUGGGUCAGCGACUUAUAUUUUGUAGCAAGGUUAACCGUAUAGGGGAGCCGUAGGGAAACCGAGUCUUAACUGGGCGAAUAGUUGCAAGGUAUAGACCCGAAACCCGGUGAUCUAGCCAUGGGCAGGUUGAAGGUUGGGUAACACUAACUGGAGGACCGAACCGACUAAUGUUGAAAAAUUAGCGGAUGACUUGUGGCUGGGGGUGAAAGGCCAAUCAAACCGGGAGAUAGCUGGUUCUCCCCGAAAGCUAUUUAGGUAGCGCCUCGUGAACUCAUCUUCGGGGGUAGAGCACUGUUUCGGCUAGGGGGCCAUCCCGGCUUACCAAACCGAUGCAAACUCCGAAUACCGAAGAAUGUUAUCACGGGAGACACACGGCGGGUGCUAACGUCCGUCGUGAAGAGGGAAACAACCCAGACCGCCAGCUAAGGUCCCAAAGUCAUGGUUAAGUGGGAAACGAUGUGGGAAGGCACAGACAGCCAGGAUGUUGGCUUAGAAGCAGCCAUCAUUUAAAGAAAGCGUAAUAGCUCACUGGUCGAGUCGGCCUGCGCGGAAGAUGUAACGGGGCUAAACCAUGCACCGAAGCUGCGGCAGCGACGCUUAGGCGUUGUUGGGUAGGGGAGCGUUCUGUAAGCCGUUGAAGGUGGCCUGUGAGGGUUGCUGGAGGUAUCAGAAGUGCGAAUGCUGACAUAAGUAACGAUAAAGCGGGUGAAAAGCCCGCUCGCCGGAAGACCAAGGGUUCCUGUCCAACGUUAAUCGGGGCAGGGUGAGUCGACCCCUAAGGCGAGGCUGAAAAGCGUAGUCGAUGGGAAACAGGUUAAUAUUCCUGUACUUGGUGUUACUGCGAAGGGGGGACGGAGAAGGCUAGGCUGGCCGGGCGACGGUUGUCCCGGUUUAAGCGUGUAGGGGGUGUGACCUGGUAAAUCCGGUUGCAUAUCAACCCUGAGGCGUGAUGACGAUGCACUACGGUGCAGAAGUAGUUGAUGCCCUGCUUCCAGGAAAAUCCUCUAAGCUCCAGGUAACAUUGAAUCGUACCCCAAACCGACACAGGUGGUCAGGUAGAGAAUACCAAGGCGCUUGAGAGAACUCGGGUGAAGGAACUAGGCAAAAUGGUGCCGUAACUUCGGGAGAAGGCACGCUGGCAUGUAGGUGAAGUCCCUUGCGGAUGGAGCUGAAGCCAGUCGAAGAUACCAGCUGGCUGCAACUGUUUAAUAAAAACACAGCACUGUGCAAACACGAAAGUGGACGUAUACGGUGUGACGCCUGCCCGGUGCUGGAAGGUUAAUUGAUGGGGUCAGCCGCAAGGCGAAGCUCUUGAUCGAAGCCCCAGUAAACGGCGGCCGUAACUAUAACGGUCCUAAGGUAGCGAAAUUCCUUGUCGGGUAAGUUCCGACCUGCACGAAUGGCGUAAUGAUGGCCAGGCUGUCUCCACCCGAGACUCAGUGAAAUUGAACUCGCUGUGAAGAUGCAGUGUACCCGCGGCAAGACGGAAAGACCCCGUGAACCUUUACUAUAGCUUGACACUGAACAUUGAGCCUUGAUGUGUAGGAUAGGUGGGAGGCUUUGAAGCGUGGACGCCAGUCUGCGUGGAGCCAUCCUUGAAAUACCACCCUUUAAUGUUUGAUGUUCUAACUCUGCCCCGUAAUCCGGGGUGAGGACAGUGUCUGGUGGGUAGUUUGACUGGGGCGGUCUCCUCCCAAAGAGUAACGGAGGAGCACGAAGGUUAGCUAAUCACGGUCGGACAUCGUGAGGUUAGUGCAAAGGCAUAAGCUAGCUUGACUGCGAGAGUGACGGCUCGAGCAGGUACGAAAGUAGGUCUUAGUGAUCCGGUGGUUCUGAAUGGAAGGGCCAUCGCUCAACGGAUAAAAGGUACUCCGGGGAUAACAGGCUGAUACCGCCCAAGAGUUCAUAUCGACGGCGGUGUUUGGCACCUCGAUGUCGGCUCAUCACAUCCUGGGGCUGAAGUAGGUCCCAAGGGUAUGGCUGUUCGCCAUUUAAAGUGGUACGCGAGCUGGGUUUAGAACGUCGUGAGACAGUUCGGUCCCUAUCUGCCGUGGGCGUUGGAAGAUUGAGAGGGGUUGCUCCUAGUACGAGAGGACCGGAGUGAACGCACCACUGGUGUUCGGGUUGUCAUGCCAAUGGCAUUGCCCGGUAGCUAAGUGCGGAAAAGAUAAGCGCUGAAAGCAUCUAAGCGCGAAACUUGCCUCAAGAUGAGUCUUCCCUGGGCCUUUAAGGCCCCUGAAGGAACGUUUAAGACUAAGACGUUGAUAGGCUGGGUGUGUAAGUGCAGCGAUGCAUUGAGCUAACCAGUACUAAUGAUCCGUGAGGCUUAACCU
rnacentral:rRNA from 1 species